AUGGAUGGAGCCAGGGUGUCUCAGGAAGAUUCGUUGAAUGAGAAGCUUAAGUACAUGAAUCUUAGAAAGGAGGAGGAGGAAUACGUGGUAUUAGAGGAAGACCUGGAAGAGCUAGAGAAGGAUGCUGAAUUCAUGGCGUUGGCUAGGGUCCAUACUAAUAAAAAGUUCAGUCAUGGUGCCUUCUAUGGCAAUAUACGAUCGGCUUGGAACCUGGAGCAAGAAGUGGAGUUUAGGGCUAUUAAGGAGAAUCUAUUUUCGAUACAGAUG
rnacentral:rRNA from 1 species